UACAGAGGGUGCGAGCGUUGUCCGGAAUUACUGGGCGUAAAGGGCGCGUAGGCGGCUUGGUAAGUCGGGGGUGAAAGUCAGCGGCUCAACCGCUGGACUGCCUUCGAGACUGCCUGGCUUGAGCAUGGUAGAGGCUGGCGGAAUUCCCGGUGUAGCGGUGGAAUGCGUAGAGAUCGGGAAGAACAUCGGUGGCGAAGGCGGCCAGCUGGGCCAUUGCUGACGCUGAGGCGCGAAAGCGUGGGGAGCAAACAGG
rnacentral:rRNA from 1 species